rnacentral:rRNA from 1 species
AUACGGAGGAUGCGAGCGUUAUCCGGAUUUAUUGGGUUUAAAGGGAGCGUAGGCGGGAGCUUAAGUCAGCGGUUAAAUGGUGCGGCUCAACCGUGCCCUGCCGUUGAAACUGGGUUUCUUGAGAGUGCAAGAGGCGGAUGGAAUUCAUGGUGUAGCGGUGAAAUGCUUAGAUAUCAGGAAGAACUCCGAUUGCGAAGGCAGUCCGCUGGGGCACGUCUGACGCUGAUGCUCGAAGGUGCGGGAAUCAAACAGGAUUAGAUACCCUGGUAGUCCGCACGGUAAACGAUGAUUACCCGCGGUCGGCGGUAGACAGUCGGCGGCCAAGCGAAAGCGAUAAGUAAUCCACCUGGGGAGUACGCCGGCAACGGUGAAACUCAAAGGAAUUGACGGGG